rnacentral:rRNA from 1 species
UACGGAGGGUGCAAGCGUUAUCCGGAUUCACUGGGUUUAAAGGGUGCGUAGGUGGGCAGGUAAGUCCGUGGUGAAAUCUCUGAGCUUAACUCAGAAACUGCCGUGGAUACUAUCUGUCUUGAAUAUUGUGGAGGUAAGCGGAAUAUGUCAUGCAGCGGUGAAAUGCUUAGAUAUGACAUAGAACACCAAUUGCGAAGGCAGCUUACUACACAGUAAUUGACGCUGAGGCACGAAAGCGUGGGGAUCAAACAGG